rnacentral:rRNA from 1 species
GGGUGGAUCUGGGGUGGGGUAGUGGGACGAAGGUAAGGGAGAGACAGCAAACAGGAGACAGAAGGAGGGGAGAACCUAACGAGAGUCGGCGGCCGCAGGGACAUGAGGAGGUGUUUUACCGGCAGCUGCUCGAGGAGGCACAUAACCGUCGUUCCUGAAUCCGGUUGGAUGUGCGGUCCGACCCGGUUCCUGAGCGAACAAGUCUUCGAGCCCAAGCUGGUCUAGAUCUAAAGGGAGGAAGAGCGAACCCUCUUCUCCUCUUUGGCGCAAACCCUCGUCUUGCUCGACGGUGCCGGUCUCCUCUUCUACGAUUUAGACGGCUUAGGUAGCGAGACCCCGUUGUGGUAGGAGAGGGUUCGUUCUCUCGUCCCAUAAGUAGAGGGCACGUACAGGUCGUGGUCGGUACCGGUUUAGCCCAGCACGGAGAGGCGCAUAGCGGGUACCUCUUCUCCCUUGUGGCCGUGGUCUUCUGACUAACUGAAGCGCUCGGGAAAUUGAUACGUGAUAAAAUC